CUACGGGGGGCUGCAGUGAGGAAUUUUGCGCAAUGGGGGAAACCCUGACGCAGCAACGCCGCGUGAGCGAAGAAGGCCUUCGGGUCGUAAAGCUCUGUCAAGUGGGAAAAAAAUUCUUUGAUGAACAGUCAAAGGACUUGAUGGUACCACUGGAGGAAGCACCGGCUAACUCCGUGGCCAGCAGCCGCGGUAAUACGGAGGGUGCAAGCGUUGUUCGGAAUUACUGGGCGUAAAGAGCGUGUAGGCGGUUUGACAAGUCAGAUGUGAAAGCCCCGGGCUCAACCCGGGAAGUGCAUUUGAAACUGUUUCACUAGAGUAUGGGAGAGGAGAUUGGAAUUCCUGGUGUAGAGGUGAAAUUCGUAGAUAUCAGGAGGAACACCCGUGGCGAAGGCGAUUCUCUGGACCAAUAUUGACGCUGAGACGCGAAAGCGUGGGGAGCAAACAGGAUUAGAUACCCUGGUAGUC
rnacentral:rRNA from 1 species